AUGAAAUCUGAAAUGAUUUUAAUUUUCAUGUUUUUCUCAUUCCUUGUAUCUCUCCAGAUUAACAGUGUGGCUUCUUCCUGUUUACAAAGAUGGGAAAGUGGAAAAGUGGUGAUUAUUAUUUGGAGAGCCCAAAAAGUACAUUGUUAUUAUACCAAUAAAAGGAGACCAUAUGUCCACAUUCAUUUUUGGCUACUUCACAAAACAGAAACAGAGGGCAGAUAUAAAGAAGUCUUGAAGAGAAAAACACCGAUGGCCAAAUUCUCCCUCAUUCCACACAAACAUGUGCAUGUACAUGCAGGUACAUAUCCCUUCCAGCCAAGGGCUGUUUUGAGGACGAAAUGUAGAGUGCUUCUUCAACCUUUAGUUCCAGUAAAAAUAAUUAUUAUUCAUUUCCUUCUCUCGUUCCUAUUUUUGAAAGAGAGCUAAUAGAAAUUGUCCUGGGGAUAAAAUGGCGAUGUCACAUACAUCAUUGACAAGUUCACUGAAUUCCACUGUCAGAAAUUUUACUUUGACAAAAAAUGUUUUGCAAAUUGUUUCUCAGGACUUGUGAAGUCAUAGUGCUGGCUGAUGAGGUCCUAAAUGUUAGAUUAUCAAAGGAAAGUGGCAUGGAAUGAGAAGAUAGAAUGGUUCUACACUUCUUCUGGAAACAAAGGAAAACCCCUCGAAGGACCUGGCAACGCAUUAAUAAAUAUCAUUUUACACAUAUUCA
rnacentral:lncRNA from 1 species